AUUGAACGCUGGCGGCAGGCCUAACACAUGCAAGUCGAGCGGAUGAAGGGAGCUUGCUCCUGGAUUCAGCGGCGGACGGGUGAGUAAUGCCUAGGAAUCUGCCUGGUAGUGGGGGAUAACGUCCGGAAACGGGCGCUAAUACCGCAUACGUCCUGAGGUAGAAAGUGGGGGAUCUUCGGACCUCACGCUAUCAGAUGAGCCUAGGUCGCAUUAGCUAGUUGGUGGGGUAAAGGCCUACCAAGGCGACGAUCCGUAACUGGUCUGAGAGGAUGAUCAGUCACACUGGAACUGAGACACGGUCCAGACUCCUACGGGAGGCAGCAGUGGGGAAUAUUGGACAAUGGGCGAAAGCCUGAUCCAGCAAUGCCGCGUGUGUGAAGAAGGUCUUCGGAUUGUAAAGCACUUUAAGUUGGGAGGAAGGGAAGUAAGUUAAUACCUUGCUGUUUUGACGUUACCAACAGAAUAAGCACCGGCUAACUUCGUG
rnacentral:rRNA from 1 species